rnacentral:lncRNA from 1 species
AAGGAAUCCUCAUUUUUGUAUCUUAAAAGAGAACAAUCGCCUGCAUGCGUGGACCCUUUUAUGGAAGCAAAAACCAGAGUGGUUUGUUCUGUGAAUAACAACAGAAAUCCUAAGGUAAUGAAUUCAUGAAUUAUCUACUACACUUG